rnacentral:misc_RNA from 1 species
GAUGAAGAACGUAGCGAAAUGCGAUACGUAAUGUGAAUUGCAGAUCUCUCAGUGAACCAUCGAAUUUUUGAACGCACAUAGCGCCCGCCGGUCAUUCCGGCGGGCAUGCCUGUCCGAGCGUCGAUGACGCCGCUCGAGCCCCCGUGCUCGGUGUUGGGGCGCUAGGUCUCCCAGAGGCCUAGGCCCCCAAGUAGCAGUGCGCGGUCCGGCUGCGGGCCCCGGGUACAGUAACUUCACUGUUGAGAUGCCCUGGGAGCCGCUGGCUGGGUCAGCCGUAAAACCCCCCAACUUUUUAUAGUUGACCUCGAAUCAGGUAGGACUACCCGCUGAACUUAAGCAUAUCAAUAAGCGGAGGA